rnacentral:lncRNA from 1 species
CUCCACCAGCACACUCCACACAACUCUCCCGAACGCCACACGGCUCCUCUAGGAACCAACAACUGGAAAUCCCCCCCUCCCGCACUUCCCCAACCAAUGGGAACUCUCCGGGGAUCCCCACGAGAACUCCAAAGUAGUGCGAGAACUCCAAAGUAGCAGGCCGAGGCGGACAGUAAAGGUCUAAUAUACAACCUAAUCAAUCCAGCAUCAUCUUAAUGGCUUACCUCCCAACCAAUACUAUUGGCAAAAUGCCAGGGGCCAUUUCGACUUGGCUGUGGCUCUCAGCAUCAGGUUAAACAGAAAAGGAGGAGGAAUUUAGAUUCUGGUGGGUUUGGUUAGGUAAGGGUGCCUGUCGCACCUGGUGCCUAGGGAAGGAGGGGGACCUGGGUGUUGGGCAUUCCCGUGAGGAAUGGUACAGGGCGCCCACUCGGGGCGGGGUGAGUAUCGAGGCUGCUUGCCAGGCCAUGCAGGCCCACGUCACAGUCCCUGUGAUGCACCUGGGCAGAACUGCACCAGCCUUGGGCAGCAGAUCUUGAGUCUUGACUCCAGGGAGGAGACACUGUGACUUCCCGUGGAGCGCCUUCAGCCAGGAGUGCCACAGAGGGCACAGUGACGUCCCCAUCCAGGUGGCCUCUCUCACCUCUACCUCCAGGUCAGACAGUCCUGCUCUCUUCUUGGAGAAUUCUCCUCUUGUAUUGUUCACAUUUACCCAAGGCUACCAGGUAGACCCUGGGUUCUUGAGGGUGGUGGUGGGGGGGGUCACUCUAUAUACAAUGACUACUCCCUUCAAAAUAAAAAUGGGAACCUGGGCUCUGACGGGUAUCUUUCUGCUUUGUUGUCUGUUUGCAUCAACACUCUCCGUAAAUCCAAAGCAUGGUGGCCAACACGCGCAGACUCGCAGAAACUCCCUGACAGCGGCCAGGACAGACCUGAAGACCCAGCCACCAUUCCCCUCCUGAAGAAGUCAUCACCUGCAGUUGGCCCUGAGCUGCUCAUGGUGGCAGGGGCUUGUCUCUCGGUUUCUUAUCCCAAGGGCCUGGCACUGUGCCCAGCACAUGGUACACUCUCAACAGUUACUGAAUGAAUAAAUGUUCUUCCUCGAAAAGACAAUUACAGGUCUGAACUUCAUGACUCGGUCUUACUUAAAGAAGAAUUUGGGUCAGGGCAUCAGAUGUCAGUCCAGAUCUGUGACGUUGCACAGUUACGAAACCUCUCUGAGCUACGUUUUCCAUGUCUACUUGCUUACAGGAUAAAAUGAAUAUUUUGUCCUUGGGAUAAAAUGAAUGAGUCAUGAGGAAUGCCUAGGACAAGCUGGCAUUUAGGACAUCUCAGUUUCCUACUCCCUUAUGGCUGCAAACACCAGUCUUCUGGUUCCAGGGAAAAUGAAGAUGUUCUUACCAGGGGAGGGGAGGUUGGUUGGUGGGCAGAGAGGAAACCACUGCUCACUCCAGCUCUCACAGAUCUGGAAGGUGUAGUACAGCGCGGACUUAUGUCACUACACUUCAUCGGCCCUGCUGAAUCAGGAGGAACACCAUCUCUCCAGCUCCUGCAGGCUAGGUGCUCCGCUGGGCACAGGGCAUAAACUGAGUCAGGAAUCAGAGAGUACAGCACUUUGCCCAAGGCCACACAGCCAAGAGUGGCAAAGUCAAGCCUUGGCUGAGAACUGAACCAAGGUGCCUGGGCUCCCCCAACCCCCUGUGGCAUCUGAGUCAUAGAUUUCCUUUUAGGAAGGCCACCAAGGGGUCCUAGUGAAGCCCGAAUUAGACAGGCAGUCAGUAUAGAUAGGUAAAUUGAGUCAGGUAGGAUCUAGGGGCCAAUUUUGAGUGAGUCUGAGAAGUUGGAGACUGUCCCUUGAGGGAUCUUAUCAAGAAC